GUGAUCUUCCCGGUGUUCCCGGUGACCUUUUUAUAGUUUCACUCCAUCGAAAUCUGAAGCAAAAGAUAACUGACACCGCCGAUGAGAAGGGGGAGGCGAAAAUGCGUCCUGCAGCCAGAGAGCGGUCUAUUUUAAGUUUCACAAAUGAAGACGCUUAAAAGUGCUAAGUCAAAAUGUCUUCUGUGGAAAAGGCCUAUGGUGGUUUCCCUUCCAUUACAAUUACGCCAGUGACUCUAUUAUUGAUGACAUCCUCCACAAAGCCAGACUUUUUCAGAUGUUUUACAUGCACCCACCUUCCAGCCCAAUCUUGCCGUCACCAUCCUUAUCGCCUGCAGCCAUCAGACUCUUGGUCUCAGCUACAGUCAGCUCCCUUGCCCCCGGAGAGAAAUUCUGAAGGAACAGUCUGACGGGUGCACAAAAAAUAUCAGAGAUAAGUUCAGACUUAUAUCAUCAUAGACUGUAUAUUUUAUGAUGCCAUUUUCUUUCCCCUCUAGGCUUUCCUGAGUUUUCAAUCCCCAUCACUCACUCACCAGCCCUUCCCUGCAUUUACUACUGAAUUUAUUCACAGCAAGAAUGCCGCUCCAUUCAUACAGUGACCUCUGCCUGUAGGCUAUCACAAUGGAAUUUCAAUGUAGAUGUAGCACACAUGCACAAACACACUCACAGGCCCAUCUCUAUCAUUGCUAUUUCUUACUU